rnacentral:rRNA from 1 species
AGAGUGAACGCUGGCGGUAGGCCUAACACAUGCAAGUCGAACGGCAGCACAGUGGUAGCAAUACCAUGGGUGGCGAGUGGCGGACGGGUGAGGAAUACAUCUGAAUCUACCUUUUCGUGGGGGAUAACGUAGGGAAACUUACGCUAAUACCGCAUACGCCCUUCGGGGGAAAGCCGGGGAUCGCAAGACCUGGCGCGGAUAGAUGAGCCGAUGUCGGAUUAGCUAGUUGGUGAGGUAAUGGCUCACCAAGGCGACGAUCCGUAGCUGGUCUGAGAGGAUGAUCAGCCACACUGGAACUGAGACACGGUCCAGACUCCUACGGGAGCAGCAGUGGGGAAUAUUGGACAAUGGGGCGCGAAGCCUAGA